GUUAUUAUUACCUGAGACCCUGAAAGGUAGCACUAAAAAAAUGAAGACACAGGAAUACCAGGAGAGAAAGGAGGUCCAGUUAGACCUAAAGGUGGGCAAGAAGAAGAAGAAGAGGAGUUUGGAUGCUUCAUCUCUGCUGAGACCCAGUGCCUUGCACUGACGGUGCUCAGGAAUACCUUCUGAAUGAUCAGAAGCCCCUGCCAUCUGCUAAAUUGGAUCUAUGAUGACAGAAGCCGAGGAAUGUGAGGUUCAUCUAGAGAGUUCUUGUGAAUUUUCCAAGGGAGGCACCUGUUGAACUCAGGCAUGGGCAUGUGACUUGAUUUGGUCAAUGAAAUGUGAGAGAAGUGACAUCCACUUUGAGGCAGGCACUUUCCAAGUUGCCCUGACAGCCACUCUCCAUACUGCUGCCAGAAGGACCUUGAAAUAUCACUCUUUUUAAUUAAAAAGCAAAACUCUUCAA